rnacentral:lncRNA from 1 species
ACCAAGGCCUUGCGCGGCCCAACGCACAAGGGGGGACGGCGCGCCCUGCUGCGGGCCCUCGCCCUGGCCCCGGUGCCACCAGUUUCCCUUGGCCGGGAUUCUUUGUGGCCUAGGCAGGCAGGCGCCCGUGCUGUCUCCACUCUGACCUAGGCACCCACCCACAUGAGGCGUCGGGAGGUGUGGGGCCGGGAGAACAUUGCUCUGCCUGGUUUCCUAGGCGGAGGCAGGUGUGUUGUCGGCAGAGACCCUCACUCAGGCCAAGUGCGUGAUGUCUCUUCUUCUUCCGCAGACGCCGAGCCCGGCACCCGGGAACCUGUUCCGGACGUGCCGCUCCCAACCAUGACUCCCAGCACCGAGGAGGCUGACCACGACCACGACCCCGAGCACGACCACGACCACGACCACGACCACGACCACGACGCCGAGCCCGGCACCCGGGAACCUGUUCCGGACGUGCCGCUCCCAACCAUGACUCCCAGCACCGAGGCUGACCACGACCAUGACCACGACCACGACGCCGAGCCCGGCACCCGGGAACCUGUUCC